rnacentral:rRNA from 1 species
GAUGAACGCUGGCGGCGUGCCUAAUACAUGCCAGUCGAGCGAACAGAUGAGGAGCUUGCUCCUCUGACGAUAGCGGAGGACGGGUGAGUAACACGUGGAUAACCUACCUAUAAGACUGGGAAAACUACGGGAAAGCGGCGCAAAUACCGGAUAAUAUCUUGAACCGCAUGGUUCAAUAGAGAAAGACGGCUUUGCUGUCUGUUAUAGCUGGAUAUGAGCUGGAUUGGCUAGUUGGUACGGAAAAGGCUUACCAAGGCAACGAGGCGUAGCCGACGUAUGAGGCUGAUCGGCCACACUAGAACUGGAACACGGUCCAUACUCCUACGGGAGGCAGCAGUAGGGAAUCUGCCGCAAUGGUCGAAAGCCUUACGGAGCGACGCCGCGUGAGUGAUGAAAGUCUUCGGAUCGUAAUACUCUGUUUUGAGGGGAGAACAAAUGUGUAAGUAGAUAUACACGUCUUGACGGUACCUAAUCAGAAAGCCACGGCUAACUACGUG